rnacentral:rRNA from 1 species
AGCGUACACGGUGGAUGCCCUGGCAGUCAGAGGCGAUGAAGGACGUGCUAAUCUGCGAUAAGCGUCGGUGAGGUGAUAUGAACCGUUAUAACCGGCGAUUUCCGAAUGGGGAAACCCAGUGUGUUUCGACACACUAUCAUUAACUGAAUCCAUAGGUUAAUGAGGCGAACCGGGGGAACUGAAACAUCUAAGUACCCCGAGGAAAAGAAAUCAACCGAGAUUCCCCCAGUAGCGGCGAGCGAACGGGGAGGAGCCCAGAGCCUGAAUCAGUGUGUGUGUUAGUGGAAGCGUCUGGAAAGGCGUGCGAUACAGGGUGACAGCCCCGUACACAAAAAUGCACAUAUUGUGAGCUCGAUGAGUAGGGCGGGACACGUGGUAUCCUGUCUGAAUAUGGGGGGACCAUCCUCCAAGGCUAAAUACUCCUGACUGACCGAUAGUGAACCAGUACCGUGAGGGAAAGGCGAAAAGAACCCCGGCGAGGGGAGUGAAAAAGAACCUGAAACCGUGUACGUACAAGCAGUGGGAGCCUCUUAAUGGGGUGACUGCGUACCUUUUGUAUAAUGGGUCAGCGACUUAUAUUCUGUAGCAAGGUUAACCGAAUAGGGGAGCCGAAGGGAAAAGGGGGGGGUUCCCCCGAGUCUUAACUGGGCGUUAAGUUGCAGGGUAUAGACCCGAAACCCGGUGAUCUAGCCAUGGGCAGGUUGAAGGUUGGGUAACACUAACUGGAGGACCGAACCGACUAAUGUUGAAAAAUUAGCGGAUGACUUGUGGCUGGGGGUGAAAGGCCAAUCAAACCGGGAGAUAGCUGGUUCUCCCCGAAAGCUAUUUAGGUAGCGCCUCGUGAAUUCAUCUCCGGGGGUAGAGCACUGUUUCGGCAAGGGGGUCAUCCCGACUUACCAACCCGAUGCAAACUGCGAAUACCGGAGAAUGUUAUCACGGGAGACACACGGCGGGUGCUAACGUCCGUCGUGAAGAGGGAAACAACCCAGACCGCCAGCUAAGGUCCCAAAGUCAUGGUUAAGUGGGAAACGAUGUGGGAAGGCCCAGACAGCCAGGAUGUUGGCUUAGAAGCAGCCAUCAUUUAAAGAAAGCGUAAUAGCUCACUGGUCGAGUCGGCCUGCGCGGAAGAUGUAACGGGGCUAAACCAUGCACCGAAGCUGCGGCAGCGACACUAUGUGUUGUUGGGUAGGGGAGCGUUCUGUAAGCCUGUGAAGGUGGCCUGUGAGGGUUGCUGGAGGUAUCAGAAGUGCGAAUGCUGACAUAAGUAACGAUAAAGCGGGUGAAAAGCCCGCUCGCCGGAAGACCAAGGGUUCCUGUCCAACGUUAAUCGGGGCAGGGUGAGUCGACCCCUAAGGCGAGGCCGAAAGGCGUAGUCGAUGGGAAACAGGUUAAUAUUCCUGUACUUGGUGUUACUGCGAAGGGGGGACGGAGAAGGCUAUGUUGGCCGGGCGACGGUUGUCCCGGUUUAAGCGUGUAGGCUGGUUUUCCAGGCAAAUCCGGAAAACCAAGGCUGAGGCGUGAUGACGAGGCACUACGGUGCUGAAGCGACAAAUGCCCUGCUUCCAGGAAAAGCCCUGCUUCCAGGAAAAGCCUCUAAGCAUCAGGUAACAUCAAAUCGUACCCCAAACCGACACAGGUGGUCAGGUAGAGAAUACCAAGGCGCUUGAGAGAACUCGGGUGAAGGAACUAGGCAAAAUGGUGCCGUAACUUCGGGAGAAGGCACGCUGAUAUGUAGGUGAAGCGACUUGCUCGUGGAGCUGAAAUCAGUCGAAGAUACCAGCUGGCUGCAACUGUUUAUUAAAAACACAGCACUGUGCAAACACGAAAGUGGACGUAUACGGUGUGACGAGGGGGCUGCCCGGUGCCGGAAGGUUAAUUGAUGGGGUUAGCGGCAACGCGAAGCUCUUGAUCGAAGCCCCGGUAAACGGCGGCCGUAACUAUAACGGUCCUAAGGUAGCGAAAUUCCUUGUCGGGUAAGUUCCGACCUGCACGAAUGGCGUAAUGAUGGCCAGGCUGUCUCCACCCGAGACUCAGUGAAAUUGAACUCGCUGUGAAGAUGCAGUGUACCCGCGGCAAGACGGAAAGACCCCGUGAACCUUUACUAUAGCUUGACACUGAACAUUGAGCCUUGAUGUGUAGGAUAGGUGGGAGGCUUUGAAGUGUGGACGCCAGUCUGCAUGGAGCCGACCUUGAAAUACCACCCUUUAAUGUUUGAUGUUCUAACGUUGGCCCGUAAUCCGGGUUGCGGACAGUGUCUGGUGGGUAGUUUGACUGGGGCGGUCUCCUCCUAAAGAGUAACGGAGGAGCACGAAGGUUGGCUAAUCCUGGUCGGACAUCAGGAGGUUAGUGCAAUGGCAUAAGCCAGCUUGACUGCGAGCGUGACGGCGCGAGCAGGUGCGAAAGCAGGUCAUAGUGAUCCGGUGGUUCUGAAUGGAAGGGCCAUCGCUCAACGGAUAAAAGGUACUCCGGGGAUAACAGGCUGAUACCGCCCAAGAGUUCAUAUCGACGGCGGUGUUUGGCACCUCGAUGUCGGCUCAUCACAUCCUCGAUGUCGGCUCAUCACAUCCUGGGGCUGAAGUCGAUGUCGGCUCAUCACAUCCUGGGGCUGAAGUAGGUCCCAAGGGUAUGGCUGUUCGCCAAGUAGGUCCCAAGGGUAUGGCUGUUCGCCAUUUAAAGUGGUACGCGAGCUGGGUUUAGAACGUCGUGAGACAGUUCGGUCCCUAUCUGCCGUGGGCGCUGGAGAACUGAGGGGGGCUGCUCCUAGUACGAGAGGACCGGAGUGGACGCAUCACUGGUGUUCGGGUUGUCAUGCCAAUGGCACUGCCCGGUAGCUAAAUGCGGAAGAGAUAAGUGCUGAAAGCAUCUAAGCACGAAACUUGCCCCGAGAUGAGUUCUCCCUGAUCUUCCUGAAGGAACGUUGA